GAUGAAGAACGUAGCGAAACGCGAUAUGUAAUGUGAAUUGCAGAAUUCAGUGAAUCAUCGAAUCUUUGAACGCACAUUGCGCCCCUUGGUAUUCCAUGGGGCAUGCCUGUUCGAGCGUCAUUUGUACCUUCAAGCUUUGCUUGGUGUUGGGUGUUUGUCUCGCCUUUGCGUGUAGACUCGCCUUAAAAUAAUUGGCAGCCGGCGUAUUGAUUUCGGAGCGCAGUACAUCUCGCGCUUUGCACUCAUAACGACAGCGUCCAAAAGUACAUUUUACACUCUUGACCUCGGAUCAGGUAGGGAUACCCGCUGAACUUAAGCAUAUCAAUAAGCGGAGGA
rnacentral:misc_RNA from 1 species